rnacentral:rRNA from 1 species
UACGUAGGGGGCAAGCGUUGUCCGGAUUUAUUGGGCGUAAAGAGCGUGUAGGCGGCUUGGUAGGUCCGCUGUGAAAACUCGAGGCUCAACCUCGAGAUGUCGGCGGAAACCACGUGGCUAGAGUCCGGAAGAGGAGAGUGGAAUUCCUGGUGUAGCGGUGAAAUGCGCAGAUAUCAGGAAGAACACCUAUGGCGAAGGCAGCUCUCUGGGACGGUACUGACGCUGAGACGCGAAAGCGUGGGGAGCGAACAGG